rnacentral:rRNA from 1 species
UGGGGAAUUUUGGACAAUGGGGGAAACCCUGAUCCAGCCAUCCCGCGUGUGCGAUGAAGGCCUUCGGGUUGUAAAGCACUUUUGGCAGGAAAGAAACGUCGCGGGUUAAUACCCCGCGAAACUGACGGUACCUGCAGAAUAAGCACCGGCUAACUACGUGCCAGCAGCCGCGGUAAUACGUAGGGUGCAAGCGUUAAUCGGAAUUACUGGGCGUAAAGCGUGCGCAGGCGGUUCGGAAAGAAAGAUGUGAAAUCCCAGAGCUUAACUUUGGAACUGCAUUUUUAACUACCGGGCUAGAGUGUGUCAGAGGGAGGUGGAAUUCCGCGUGUAGCAGUGAAAUGCGUAGAUAUGCGGAGGAACACCGAUGGCGAAGGCAGCCUCCUGGGAUAACACUGACGCUCAUGCACGAAAAGCGUGGGGAGCAAACAGGAUUAGAUACCCUGGUUAGUCCACGCCCUAAACGAUGUCAACUAGCCUGUUGGGGCCUUCGGGCCUUGGUAGCGCAGCUAACG